AUGCUGUGAAGAGCAGAUCUGAGGUCACACAAGCAAAGAGGAGAAGAAUAGGUCAGCUCCUGAGAAGGGCUUCUCAACAGACAGCACUACGGAAACUGGGCUCGCUGACACCUGAGGAAGUCAGCAUGCCAGGCACAGAAGAACAACCUCACCUUUGUGUGGAUAUUGCUGAGAGGGGACCGAUCCACGCAGGAUUUUCUGCGCAUGUUACCUUGGGCUGUCUGACCCAGGAGCAAACCCGUAGAGCCAAAGGGUCCUCAGCUUAUCCCAUAUCCCCGUGCCCACCAGCUCUGCCAGGGAAAACCUGUGCUUUGUCGCAUUUAGUAACAAAACAGCUCCACCUUUCUUCUCCAUAUGAGGUGCCUGCCAAAGACAGGCCAAGAAAAGAGCCCCAUUUGUUUUUGGCCCAGAUGCUCAAAAAAUUGGCAGGUCUAAACUGCAGGCCUCCAGACUCAUUUGAAAUGGAAGAGAUUCAGAGCUUUGAGGAUGAAAUUCCAUGUGGA
rnacentral:lncRNA from 1 species